rnacentral:sRNA from 1 species
UGUUGUUCCACGGGGCCCGGAGAGCGC